GUACUUCUUUAAAAAUAACCCCAAAUGAUGCAACAGAUGCCGGUGUGAAGAUUUGCCCUGUGGGAAAAAAUUAUGAGAAAUGUUUUGUGUGUCUCUUUUGUCAUUUAUGUAUUAAUCUCACAUGUCCUUGAAUACCACUAAGAAUUUUGCAGUAUUUUAACAUGACUAUUUUUAGUCUGUUGUUAAGUGCAUCCUCUACCCUGAAGGUUGUAUGAGCGUUCAUUUAGCUCCCAGCACAAUAAAUAAAAACAAAUCGGC